rnacentral:misc_RNA from 1 species
UAUACUCUUGCUCUUAUUUUGCUCACAAGAACGUGUUUAUCUGGUUCUAGUGCAGAAGGUGAUGGGUUACAUAACUUUUGUCAUAGGCCAUAAGCACUGACCCUUCACUUUUCUUGGUUAAGUUAUAUGCUUAGAAACCAAGAUCAAUCAAUGAAUGCAAACAUUUUAGGAAGUUUAUUCGUCUUUGCAUACUACAUUGGGUGCGUGCAGUUUAGCACUCACAUGGGCCCAAGGGUCUUUACUUAUUUAAAGCAUCUUUAUCUAAUAGAUAAUGCAUUGUGCUCUGCAUUUUUAGCUAUCAGCUGCAAGAGGAUACUCUUGACUUUUAGUUGUUAUUUUUAUUAGUCCAGAUAUAUUAAAAUGAAUCCCGUGUAGCAAACUAUAUUCAAGGAGUCAAAGUUUUAUUUCAUGGUCGCUUUACGAGUUGGAAGCCAAUUGUAACUUUUUUGAUAUCCAUUAUCACAAAAUAUUUAGCAAAUGAUGAUAUAUUCAUAUCAACCAGUUAAGUGCCGAUUAUGUAAUGAAAAAAUGUGUCUUUGUUGUAGGUGAUUUCCUUGUUAUGUUAGAAAAAAGCAUCAAGCGUUAUGAUUCAUGUCAAAUGCAAUGACCCCACUGCAAGGUUUUUACUUUUUAGGAAAUAUUUUCUGCUGAUUUUUAAAUAUGGUUUGUUCAUAUGUUUUUAUGGCUUUAUUUUGUUUCAGGGAAAUUAACUUUUAUGUAGAAAGUGAUGCAAAAAAUAUUUUUGUUGCUUGGUUGUAUCUCUAACAAUCAAGUGAGUGUUACUUUUUAAUGUUUGGUAACAGUAGAGAAAAGAAUUUUCAUUUAAUGACAAAGGCCGUGAGAAUAUUUUGAGUUUAAACCUAUGAGAACUGCAUUUUCUUCUAUUGUGAAUGUGAAUAGAAGUAAACUUAUUGAAAGAAAUGGUUAAUUGUGGUGGUUGGUGGAGAUUGAUGAUGGCCAAUGAUAGUUGAUUUUGUUUAGUGGGCUAGAACCAUAUGUUGAUGUAGUCCUUUUACAAAAUUUUUCCCUUUUAUGACCUCAUAGAAGUUUCAUGGAAAGUCUGUUUCCUUGAAAAUGGCGUAUUUUUCCCUUGAUGAUGAAAGUAUUUUCUAUUGACCAAUUUUUCUGUGCAUGCAUAACACUGGGAAAUGUGUAAAAUAUAUUUUGUGAAACAAAGUCUAUUUGCCAUUAUUGUUAGAGCUGCUAUUAAGAAAAACACAUUCCUAAAUAAGUUAGUUAGAGGGUCUUAAAAAUUAGUUUAAAGUUAAAU